rnacentral:rRNA from 1 species
AUUGAACGCUGGCGGCAUGCUUUACACAUGCAAGUCGAACGGCAGCACGGACUUCGGUCUGGUGGCGAGUGGCGAACGGGUGAGUAAUACAUCGGAACGUACCCAGUAAUGGGGGAUAACUAUCCGAAAGGAUAGCUAAUACCGCAUACGCCCAACGGGGGAAAGAGGGGGAUCGCAAGACCUCUUGUUAUUGGAGCGGCCGAUGGCUGAUUAGCUAGUUGGUGGGGUAAAGGCCUACCAAGGCAACGAUCAGUAGCGGGUCUUAGAGGACGAUCCGCCACACUGGAACUGAGACACGGUCCAGACUCCUACGGGAGGCAGCAGUGGGGAAUCUUGGACAAUGGGCGCAAGCCUGAUCCAGCAAUGCCGCGUGCGUGAAGAAGGCCUUCGGGUUGUAAAGCGCUUUUGUCAGGGAGCAAAUCCUUGAGGCUAUUACCCACCGGGGAUGAGAGUACCUGAAGAAUAAGGACCGGCUAACUACGUGCCAGCAGCCGCCGUAAGAC